UGGCGAACGGGUGAGUAACGCGUGAGGAACCUGCCUCAAAGAGGGGGACAACAGUUGGAAACGACUGCUAAUACCGCAUAAGCCCACGGCUCGGCAUCGAGCAGAGGGAAAAGGAGCAAUCCGCUUUGAGAUGGCCUCGCGUCCGAUUAGCUAGUUGGUGAGGUAACGGCCCACCAAGGCAACGAUACAUAGGGGGACUGAGAGGUUAACCCCCCACAUUGGUACUGAGACACGGACCAA
rnacentral:rRNA from 1 species